rnacentral:other from 1 species
GAUUACCUGGGGUGUUUGUUAGUGGAUUACGUCCCUGAGCCGAUACUAUUAAACUUUCGAAUUGGUUCACUAUCGUUGGUGAGCAUGCUUACCUUGGCAUCAGCCCUGAUGUAAGAAGCCUAAAAACAUUUAUAGCCGAUUCCCUUGAACUUUCGGGUUCAAGGACCGACCAUCCACAACGGCAUCUCGGGUUCUUU